AAGAAAGGCAGCCUGAGGUUCCAGGAGUCAAGGAGAAGAUCCACUGCCUGGUUCUUUUUUCCCAUGAGGAAAGGAACUGAUAAGUGGGGAAUUCUGAGGUCCAACUUUGAUCCAUAACUUAUUAUGAGAGGUUCAACUGAUCAGCAGGAACUGGAGUAAGGAAUACAUGGCAGAAAUCCAGGACCUAGGAAUCGUUAAAUAGCCAGAAAUGCAGUCCAGGUGAAAGUGUCACAUGGGAGAUACCUAGAAGGACAAAGAUCAUGAAAUAGAUGGAAAUAACCACUUUGAUU